GUGUGUGUCUGUACUGUACGUUUUCUACAGGUCUGAGUGUGCUGCUGUCUAGCACACUUCUGCAUUUGUCCUGUCUGUCUCUCGGCUUCCUCUUCUUUCAUUCCCUUCACAAAGCCCUUCUGCCAUCUCUAUUCUGUCUUUCAGCUGAUAAGGGAUGCCGAACACAGAGAGAGACUGUCUAAGGACCCUCUUUAGACAUGAAACCCAGAGUUGGGCCACUUCUCGGGGGACCAGAGAGUCUGUCUGCCUGGCCUCCAUCCAUCAAACCUGGUGGUCUUUAGGAAACUUUAACCUGCUUUAACCUGCUGAGGUAAAUUAUGCUAAAUUUGUUUUAAAGCUGCAGUCCGUAACAUUUUGUUGGUUAACCAGCCAGUGUUCAAAACUAUCUCCUUACCUUUAGCCUGAUUCACAACAGUAAGCUUGUAAUAAUGGUUUUUAAUAUGAGAGUGUGGGGGAAAUUUUGAGUUUCUGUAUAAUUUACGUAUGAUUUUACUUAUAUGCUUAUGGUUAAAUGAUUUUGUUUUUCUCAGAAGUGUUUAAGUAUGCAUUUUUGGGUGAUAAGUGGAAAAACACUGAAGUGGUAAACAUGUUCCUAAUAUGGUAAAAGGACAGAGGCUUCAGCCUUGGAGGUCAGAGAUAUAAAAGUGAGGGGAAGCUUUCAUUCUUUGUCUUACACUCUGCAGCUACUGGUGUUUCUGUUGACUGUUUGACCUUUCUUGCAAGAAAUAAAACUUUCGAAAGACAAUUGGAUGUGUUUAUCUUUUAUGCAGUAGAGUCAGUGUUGAUUUUUUUGCCACAACAAGAGGAACUGGUAGGUUUUCGCGGGAAAUACGAGUUUGCCUUUGCGUCAUUACGUCACGUCUGUAUACAUAAAGAAGGAGUCCCGGACACUGCAGGUGGCGGAUCAUUUGAAGACUCUUUUACAGCAGCUGUAAUAAUUAAGCUUGUCAUUUUGAGGGUGGAAUGUAAUCAGGAACGGUAAAGGCGAACAUCAUCAUUGACAAAUGGUGAAUCACCAGUAGGCCUAGUAAAAAAGACUGCGGAGUGGCAAAAAAGCAAAAAAAGGGAAUACGACCAGGCCCGUGCGAAACAAGAAUAAAAAUAUCGGCAGGGCUUUUGAAAGGUGGCGUGAACUCUGUUUUGGUUAAAAACGGACACAGAGAUUGCUUUUUUCUGCUGGACAGCCUGUACUAUCCACUCCAGGAUUCAGGCAAGUCAGCUAAAGUGGCCGGGAUCAGAUUUCAUCUCUUCACACUGUGAUGUCAGCACAUGCUGUGGAUCUGAGCUACCCAAAAGACACUGUGGCUCGUGUCCAGUUAUCGACCUAAUAUUGACCUCUAAUGCACCUGAAUCCUCUAUCCUGAGACUGGAUGAGCGAUCUGAGAUAUUCCAUCCACCUCUACAGGGUCAGCCAAACUCUCAAAGGACGUUUUCAAGAAACAAUUCUGCAGUCACAUGAAAGACUUUUGACUGCCCAGCGCAGAAGGAGAGCUCAAGCCUGCUGUGAUGAAUGAGCCAGACCUGAGGACUGAGCCAAACAUCGCCCUGGAGCCUGAGCCCCACAGUGAGUCUGACCAGGUGUGUGAGCCGGCAACAUCAUGUCCCACCGUGAGAUGCUAAUAGAGGUUGAGGAAAUGGAGGAAGACCUCACCCACACUGCCACCACUGAGGGUGAGCUGAAGCUGACCUCUGCAGCUUUCUGCAUCUUAUAACUAUUUUGAAGAGGAUGUUUACCUGAAUCUCCCAUCCCUGUUGGUACUGUCCAGCUCAAGUUCUCCUGUGUUUCGGCUGGUUCCACCGAGCUCAAAGUCUCCUGCGUUCCCACUGGUCCCUUCCAGCUAAAAGUCUCCUGUGUCUCCAGAGUUCCUGCCCAGCCUCCCUCUCCCGCCUCCUCUUCAAAAGGUCAGCUACACAUCUGACGCCACUCUACAGUGUGCAAUUGCCUCUGGUCUUCCAGUCUCCAGCUCCGCCUAGUAAAGAGGAUCCUCCGGCUCCACCUCCAGCCGCUGAUCCCGUCACUUUACCUCAGCCCUUUGACCUGUCGGCACCGCCUUGGCUCUUCCCUACCUCGGCUCCACCAGGGACCACUGGCCUUAAAGCUCCACCGGGUUUUCUCGUCCCUCCGGCUCCACCUUGGUUAGAUGACGCUCUGCCAUCUCCAUCCAUCAUCCCCCUUGUGUUGACAGCCAAGCCUCCACCAUGGCUCCUCCCUUCCUCGACUCCGCUGUGGGCCAUCUUCCUGGCUGCGCUCUGGGUUCCUACCUGGCUUCUCUUGCUCCUGUCUCCUCCCAUUGCCAUUGCUGCCCUGGUCUCUCCUGCCACCAACUCCUCUGGUUCCCUGUUCUUCACCAACCCUUUGUCUUCCUCCAGAGCCUCCGCCCUCCCUCCUCAGUUAGACUCGUUUAGGAUGCGCCUUCCUGAGGUGGGGAGGGUGUGUAAUGUUAUGUGUACAGUCAGUUUUGGUUUUGUUUUCUCUGUGUUCUGUUCCUGUUUGCCUGUGUUCCCUUUGUUAGUUUGUCUCUAUGGUUUUUGAUUGAGUUCACACAUGUUCCUGGUUAUGUUAAUUAUCCCUGUAUGGGAUAAUUUAAAAUUAUAAGUCCUGAGUCCUGAGUUUCUUUAGUUCUGUGUACAGUUCUGUGUCUGGUAUCUAUGUAAUGUGGUUGUGUUUUCUUAAGCUCCUGCAAUCUCUUGAUUGUUCUUUGUGGAUUCAAUAAAGACUGUUUAUUUUGGA